GCAUUAAUGGGGUAGUGGUAACCUGGGUCGUUGCCAUUUAACCGCAUCCUGGAUUCAUGCACUGAGCCAUCGACCCGCCGGGGGUUCGAUUCCCUCUUAAUGCA